GUGAAUCAUCGAAUCUUUGAACGCACCUUGCGCUCCUUGGUAUUCCUUGGAGCAUGCCUGUUUGAGUAUCAUGAAAUUCUCAAAGUAAACCUUUUGUUAAUUCAACUGGCCUUGCUUUGGAUUUGGAGGUCUUGCAGAUGUCACAGUCUGCUCCUCUUAAAUAUAUUAGCUGGAUCUCAGUAUACACUUGGUUCCACUCGGCGUGAUAAGUAUCACUCGCUGAGGACACUGUAAAAGGUGGCCAGGCAAUGCAGAUGAACCGCUUCUAAUAGUCCAUUCACUUGGACAAUUACAUUUAUGAUCUGAUCUCAAAUCAGGUAGGACUACCCGCUGAACUUAAGCAUAUCAAUAAGCGGAGGAAAAGA
rnacentral:rRNA from 1 species